rnacentral:lncRNA from 1 species
ACUAAUGAAGACCACAGAACACAUCUAAGCUGUGGACCUCUGGGCAAAGAUGUACCCCUUCUUAGUUUUCCUGUUUGUGAAAGUAGGGGGAAGGGAACUAGCUGACCUGGACACUAUUCUGAGUGAGGUGCAAAAUUUCAUUUAAUCCACACAGCAACCCCAGGGUAGAUGUUGGCAUGGAUGUGGUGAAAAGGGAAGAGUUUACACUGCGGGCAGGAAUGUAAAUUAGUCCAACCUCUAUGGAGAGCAGUAUGCAGAUUUCUUUUUUCUUUUUUUUUUUAUUUCGAGAUAAACUAUGAGAAUGCAAAGGCAUUCAGAGUGGAAUAAUGGACAUUGAAGAUUCCGGAGUGUAGGAGGACCUGGGAGACAAAAAGUUAUAUAUUGGGUACAUGUACACCACUCAGGUGACAGGUACACUAAAAUCUCAAACUUCAACACUAGCAAGAUUGGUGCAGAGCAGCUGCGGGAGGCAGUGGUGUCGUCUGAGAGGGUCCUAUGGACCAGCACCCCUGCCUGUAAAUUCUUAUUAUUACCAGGUCUGCCUCAUGGGCCUGUACAGGGUCUAAAGGGUAAACUUAGGAGCUAUGAUACACUGGCUGCACAUGGGCAGGGCUGAUGAUGGCUGUGCAAUGUCAGACGAACUUUGGAUCUAAUCUUGGUUCCGACACUUACCGGCUAGGUGACCGAAGCCUCAAUGACCUCAGAUGUAAAAUGGUAAAAUAAUGAUAAAGUUAAAAAAAAAAAAAGGCCGGGCGCGGUGGCUCACGCCUGUAAUCCCAGCACUUUGGGAGGCCGAGACGGGCGGAUCACGAGGUCAGGAGAUCGAGACCAUCCUGGCU